AGUCGAGCGAACGGACGAGAAGCUUGCUUCUCUGAUGUUAGCGGCGGACGGGUGAGUAACACGUGUAUAACCUACCUAUAAGACUGGGAUAACUUCGGGAAACCGGAGCUAAUACCGGAUAAUAUUUUGAACCGCAUGGUCCAAAAGUGAAAGACGGUCUUGCUGUCACUUAUAGAUGGAUCCGCGCUGCAUUAGCUAGUUGGUAAGGUAACGGCUUACCAAGGCAACGAUGCAUAGCCGACCUGAGAGGGUGAUCGGCCACACUGGAACUGAGACACGGUCCAGACUCCUACGGGAGGCAGCAGUAGGGAAUCUUCCGCAAUGGGCGAAAGCCUGACGGAGCAACGCCGCGUGAGUGAUGAAGGUCUUCGGAUCGUAAAACUCUGUUAUUAGGGAAGAACAUAUGUGUAAGUAACUGUGCACAUCUUGACGGUACCUAAUCAGAAAGCCACGGCUAACUACGUGCCAGCAGCCGCGGUAAUACGUAGGUGGCAAGCGUUAUCCGGAAUUAUUGGGCGUAAAGCGCGCGUAGGCGGUUUUUUAAGUCUGAUGUGAAAGCCCACGGCUCAACCGUGGAGGGUCAUUGGAAACUGGAAAACUUGAGUGCAGAAGAGGAAAGUGGAAUUCCAUGUGUAGCGGUGAAAUGCGCAGAGAUAUGGAGGAACACCAGUGGCGAAGGCGACUUUCUGGUCUGUAACUGACGCUGAUGUGCGA
rnacentral:rRNA from 1 species